AGGCGGGUGGUGCAAAUGGCAGCACGACGGUCUUUGGAACCGUAUGUUGCAGGUUCGAAUCCUGCCCCGCCUG
rnacentral:tRNA from 1 species